rnacentral:misc_RNA from 1 species
UGAAAAGGAUGCAGAAGUCAUUACUAAAUAGAUUCUGCAAAUGUUUAGCAAGAAUGUGAGAUUGAAAUUUGUGUGCUCAUGAACGUGGGUUUUUGCGUGAACAACCUGCAUCUAAGCUGAAUUUAUUUUCUCUGUUCUCUCUUGAGGAUAGAUAAAUUCUUGUAAAUGAUUGAAUGACUCUGAUUAUAGCAAAGGCAAAAAUUCUUCGCAC